rnacentral:miRNA from 1 species
UGAGAAGCGUAAGAAGGGAUC